rnacentral:lncRNA from 1 species
CUCGCGGUUCUUGCAUCGCGCAGCCAGGGGCCACCCCCCUGCCCUGCUCCCUCCCCCUAGCGAUCGGCGACGACUGCCUGUGCGGCCGCGCCGUUAUGUUGCCGGCCAACUGCCCUGCGUCUCUACUCCUCCAAGGCUCCAACACCCCUUCGCUGACCCCCUGCCUGCCGGGCUGCCGGACAGAAUUUUGCUGAGGCCAACCACAUCACAAACGGCACACAGGUAAACUAACAUCUUUCGCCAAAUUCCCCAUUUACUAAGUAGUAGCCUUAUUUUGUUUAGUUGCUUACAUCUCGUGAUAAGUAGUAGCCUGUCAGAGAAGAAUUGAUCUAGGACUUGUUAAUAUUGGUGAGUCAUGCAUGUACAUGUGUCUAUAUUUGUGGAUCUCAGAUAUCAGUCUUCAGGCGUUCAUAUAUGUUUGUGCCUGCAGUCUUUCAUUUAGCUCCGGAUGCUGUGAAAAAUCUUCGUAGAUUUAUACUGUGCCAUCUGCACAAUGUCAAAAUGUUUCUAAUAGCCGAAGUUAUUUUCUGCUACUUAUUCUAGUUUUGAUGCACCCAGAAUUUCGUUAUAAUUACCAAAAUAUUGCAGGUGUCGAUGGAGGAACAGGUGGUAAUGUAAUUCUUGGUUUCUCAAGAUCUGUCUGGGAUUUCAGUAACUUGCAACAUCACACGGUAUGCUUUUGGUAAUUAAACUUACAUUUUGCUCCAGCAAUGCAUCUUACUGAAACCUUAUAAUAACCAAUAUCCUCAAGUGCCUUAAUUGAUCAUCGCUGUUAUAAUAAAAUAACACAUAUGAUUCUCCGACUAAAAGAAGUUUAUCCCAAUUCUCUUCACCAAAUCACGCACGACUUGUGGAAUAUUUUCUACGCAUUCAUUGUCCUUGUACGACAGCAAGUGUACCAACACCUGAUUUCGUAGGUCAUAAUCGUCCUGCACGUGAAUUAUGCUGUCAUGCAAGGCUCACAUCUAAAAGGACACAUGAAUGGUGAAUGUAGAGUACUCACUGGGACAACUGGUAAUCCAUGUUCAUGAUCAUGCCACGUGCGCAUAAUCUUUAAAACUAAAAACCCAGACAUAUUGCUGCAUAGGAGUAAAUGUUAUUAGCAAUAUGAUAGAUGAAAAUAUGGUCAAAUAAUUGGAAUGUUAAGGUUAUAACCUGUUUGGGUUUUUUGGAACUCCAAGUGGUAUGAUGCGACGCCAUCUAAAAACAUCAUCAUUCCAGCCAGGAAUUGCAUCUUGUAAUGCUAUGUUUAGAUGGAAUGAAAUACAUUGAAUCUUAAGUAUGUCCUUCUGUGAAGGAUUCUUUUUCCAUGCAUCCGAUAGGGGAAGAGGGUCGAGUAUAGUGAUUGUUCUAUCCAAUAGGUCGAACAGGAAGAGGAUGAAGCGACCGGUUGUACAAAACGGCAACAAAAUCUGUGUGAAGUAGGCUUUAGAAAUAAAAUACGGGUGAAAAGCACACACAGAGAUGGGAAGUAUGAUUACCAACUUGCACACCGAGACGUCAAAGCACAUAUCAGGCCAACGAUGAAAUAGUUUUGCAAUAAUGUAGCGUUGGGCAUCAAAUGGUAAACGGAGUUUUGGAUCUUGUGUAGAGUCAUUUAGUAUCAUCUGAGAGGAAAGUAAAGGAUUAUUAACAUUCUAUGCGCUUAUGGUUGCAAUUAUAUGUGCUCGUCGCCGUAAAAGGAAGUAUUAUGAGAUUUUAAAAACUUACAGAAAAUCUGAGAUCCAUAUAGUGAUAUGGAGUGUCUUUAGCCCAUUGAAUGUCGUCUGUAGCAUUUACUCGAACAGCCAUGUUAAAACUGUCGACAUCAAUUGCCCGUGUAUUCUUUAGUAAGUCUUGUAGUUGUCUAAGACUUAUACUUAGUGGGUAGGGCUUGGAGCUACGGAUCCAUUCUUUCCUAUCAAAUAAACCAUAGCAUCAACGAUAUAGUGAAAAAAUAAUAUACAUAAAUGCAGAUAUUGUUAUUUUGAAAGUUGACUUACUCUCGGGAAUCUGCAUUAUGAAUGGACAUGAUAUGACCUCGAAGUUUGCAAAGUAGCUCAUUUUUAUUAAGUGGCAUUCUCAGAACAACCAUGGCAGGUGGCGGGUCCAAUAUUUCAACACCGUCAGUAUCUAUUAUAUCGUCUGCUGGAUUAUGGUACUCAGGAGUUCCUUUUAUAUCAUUCAGAUCUGAUUCAUGGAGAAUGAUUGCUACUUUUUGCCUGAAGGGUUUGACAUCUUCCUGGAAAAAUAAUAAUUAGAAUCAAUAUAUUACAACAUUGAAUUAGAUAUGCAAUACACUUUUGUCAUCCUUCACAAAUUACCUGUGUAACAGGAUGUGACAGUUUGUGUCCUGUCCAGUAUUCAAUGAAUUGUAGCAUGAACAAGCCGCAAGAUGAUCUAUUGGUUAAAAAUAUUGGGCACAUUAGUAAUAAGCAAACAUAAGGAAUUGUUGAAUAAUAAUCAAUAAUUGUUACUGCUGCUCUCAUUUCGCAUUUUCUCAUGUGAUGAUUUCAAACAUACCCAUCAGAUUGAAUUCGAUCUUGAAUAUACUCUUUUAUAGUCCAUCUAGUUACAUCAAUAUCUGGCCAAGUACCUAGGUUAAACCCAUUCAUCUUAGAAGCAAUCUUUAGAUGCGCCUCAAGCCCCUGAAGCUGUUAAAUAGAAAAAAAGUAUGAUAAUAUAGGUGAAACUAAUUGCAUGAAUUCCAAGUACAGAUAUAGUAAAAUCAUACCGUAAGUUGUAGAUCAGCUCGGCUCAUUCGAGAACCAAAAGAAUCGAGUACUUGUAUCUCGCGUUGUUUGAUAUUGACAACAGAUAGAUACCAAUGCGUUUGGUUCAUAUUAAUUGGAAUGUACAACUGACACAAAAUAUAUAAGUCAUUGCCCCGGCUAGGUAAACAAAUUGAUAACAAAUGAUAGAACCAUAGGUAGGAAAAUUAGUCUAACCAUGUCAUGCUGUAGAUACUUAAGCACCUUUUCAACGAUGUGGUGAUGACUCUCAAGGCUUAUGGGAAUUUCACCAUCUCGCUUAAGUAUUCCUGAAUCAUAUGUAGUUUCCAAGAAUACACGUGCACCCGCUGUACAAAAUUUAUCCUGGACCCUUAGACAGUAAAUAUAUGCAUUUAUGACCUAUAGUAGAAAAAGUAACAAAUAAAUUAGACAUUCUUGAAGUGUGUAAGUAUGAUCAUUGGAAUAUAUUUUAGCUGACCUCGCUCUCCACCCAUAUCUCAUCUUCUAAAAGACAUUCCAAAUCUCGACGUGUCAAGGUUGUGUCAUGGAUAUUCACUAACUUGGUUUUGCUAGGGAAGGACAUGAUGUAUUCCUUCAUUUCAGUAAAAUUAAUAGCACAGGCAUUUUCUUUUAUCUCAUUCAGAUCCAUCUGAAACAACAUAGACAUAAGUAAAGCUUAAUUGAAUAAAAAAAUGUGGUGGUUGUUUGUAUAGCGCCUGUGAAAGCUGAUUCGCUUGUUGCUAAUACGUGAAUGCAAGGAGCUCACCUCGGCUGGUGCGACGGACAUGGCGAGUGGAGCGCAGAGGCAACGACGGCCGUAGCGCAGCGUCGCCGGGAGGACGGCCUUGAGGUGCUUUGCACCGCUGAGCCCGUCCCGGCUGCCGUCGUUUCCCCAACGUAUACAGGUUCUCUUCCACGACUGAUGAACGUGCCCACAAUGGAUCGGCCAGAGAGAGAAGAAAGAGACCUAUGCAGGGCGUCAAUGGGGUAGUGCGAGCAGCCUUGCUUUGAAGUGGCCAUUUAUAAUACUUCCCUUCCGCUGAACUCGGGAAUUUCUUCCUGCAUGUGACGCGCGGCCUUAACUGCCCUGCAAUCUCGGCGAUUACCUUCUCUACAUAGGGCAAUCGGAGCGAUUAUCUUCCCUACAUAAACAUGAUUGCUUCCAUCUGAUUUGUUUACUGAUCAGGAGCAAGAAAAUCGCCAGAGAUAUCACUCCGUUUUAUUGUAUCGUAUACCCUUGCUCUGAGAGGAAACAUCCCAUCCAGCGACAAAAUUAGACGAUGUUCCAGCGACAAAAUUAGACUCCAUGACAGAGGUGACCUGCACAAAAUAAAUCUCAGAUAAAUUAAAAACCAUUUCAUUAUCUAAUUUUAUUGUGAAAUAAAAAUAUUGCCAUACAUAAUAAAAUGAUAGAGUGGAAAUAUAACUGCCAAAUUUCUCACCUAUGAUGUAAGGAUCUCUUUAUAGACGAUGUUCUUCGUGUACGUACCAACAGGAUAAUCGCAUGUGUUUUUGCUGCAAGUUGAACUCUUCUUUUUGAUGUCAUCUGAGUUUCUUUUCUUAUUACCAGCAUCAGGGACGGCAAGAAUCUUGACAUUCUUUCUAGCGGUGGAUCUAGAUAGUGCAACAUACAACUGCCCGUGAGAGAACACAGGCUCGGGCAAGUAAAUACCGACAUUCGGGAUAGUUUGCCCCUGUGCCUUGUUAACCGUCAUGGCGAAGCUGAGCCUUAUUGGAAAUUGCUUCCUCUUGAACUGAAAAGGAAACAUCUCAUCAUCAGAGGGGCAAAGGGGAAUCCUUGGCAAGAAGAUCCUUUUUCCAGCAUGUUGGCCCAGGACAAUUUCUGCAUCGAUGACAUUCCUUUGGAAUCCUCGAACCACCAGCCUCGUGCCAUUGCAAAGUCCGUUCGCGGGGUCAAUGUUCCUGAGCAAUAUGACAGGGCAGUUAAUCUUGAGCUUCAACACAUGCGGGGGCAGCCCAUUAGGGGUCAAUGUGUUAAGGAAUUCAGGAGGAUAGUAGUUAUGAGGGUCGUCAACCGCACAAUCAAAACUAUGGUACACCAUCUCAUCUCCUUGGAAUCGACUGAUCAUCUUCAAAUUAAUCCUAUCCACGCAAUCAUUCGUUGUCGAUAAGAUUGCUCUGGAGGUGAUGUAGUCUGGGUCUGACGUGUUAGCAUCAAGGCUAGGAAAAGUAUUGUCUAUCAGUGUAUCAAGGUCAGUGUCCUUCCCAGUUGACGACACACAUAUCUCGUCUGGAAGGCGGACCUCACCAUCUUGAUUUGUCUCCUCCUUACCAUCACCAAUGCGCAAUAGAUAUUAUGCAAACCAUGGGUCACUAUGUGCCCUCAUAUUGCGUACCAACUUAAGGUGAUGCAUGGAAUCCCAAAGGUAAGACCUACGCAGCGAUGAAUUAAUUAUCUGAGCCCUAGACCCCUUACGGACAACAGGGAGGACCUGUCUGAAAUCUCCACCGAACACAACUGUCUUUCCACCGAACGGCAGGUCUGGUCGGCUCAUCACGUCGCGCAUACUGUUGUCCAACGCCUCCACUGCCUGCCUCUUUGUCAUGGAAGCCUCAUCCCAAAUAAUGAGAGAAGCUGACUGUAGGAGCUUUGCAGUCCCGCUCUGUUUUGUAAAGCUACAAAACCCACCAUCAUCAGUGCCUAACGGUAUCUUGAACCGUGAAUGAGCUGUUCUCCCUCCUGGCAUUAUGGAAGCAGCAACACCGGACGUAGUUGUCGCUAUAGCAUUUUUUUUCUGCCCACGUACCAUUGCGAGCAGUGCUCUGUACAAAAAAGUCUUUCCAGUGCCUCCAGGCCCAUCCACAAAGAAGACACCACCCUCAUCACGAUCAAUAGCAGACAUAAUUUCAUCGUAUGCGGCCCUCUGAUCUGAAUUAAGUGAAUCUGAUAGAUAUGUGUCCUCAACAUUGAGCACUAUGGUGGAUUCCUCGAAGAUCUCCCUUGUCACACCGAUGGAAGUGUCAUAUUCUUCCUGGAUUUUGGGAAGAGGGAAUGACUCUAUCUCCUUGCCCAUUGAUUGUAGCAUAUUCCUGAUAUCUAUUAGAACCAAUUGCUCAACUGCAACUUUGGAUGGAUUGCUACGACGAUAGUCUUCUGACAUUGCAUCCAGGUGCUUUUCCCAGAGUCCGCGCACAUCGCUUGGCUCACAAAAAACCAGUAUCGUUGCAAAGAGCCUCCGUAGAGAUGAUGGCAUCUCAUAUAAUGUGGAUUCAGUGAGGGACUCAUCCAGUGUGUUGUCUCCUUCGAUCAAUCCCCUUCUCUCGGCAGCUUCACGAAAGGUUGGUAGGAUCUCACCAUUAACUGUCCUUAGGUCCUCAUAAGAGGUGGCGCCAGUGACAUGGUUUAGGAGGACCCGCAAGUAAUAGCGUUCCCCCUCGGCAGGAUGAGCGGACACAAUUCUUCCAAUUUGUCCACCUGUAUCUCGUACCCUUUUUCUCCAAUAUUUAUUAUUCCGACUUGUCUGCCAGGUGUACCACUCGGGGAAGUCCCUGUACAAGAUAGAACGAGCAUCCUCAUGUAACCUGUUUGCCUCAAAGUACUCUGUAAGCAUUGACUUCUCAACACCUUCACGGUUAACUACUCGUUCAAUAUUUUGGGCCGCUUGGAAUGACACCAUGUGCAUGUUUGGCAAAUGGAGUUGUAGCUGCUUCACGGGUGGCGAGUUCUUACUCAAUUCAAAUCCAUAUAUCCUCCACAAUGCUUCUGGAGGAGUCACCCACCUAGCGUCUCUAUACUGUUUGAUCUCAUCUAUGUCUCCAUUUUUGUCAGCCUCACUUACAGCAAUAGAUGCUCGAUCAUGGCCCUCGUAUAUGUAUUUGAACAGGUAUUUAACGGCUUUUAUGCUGCCGCAUGCCUCAACAUUGAUGUGACAGUUGAAGUAGCGCAAGAGGUGUGGGUUGUAUGGGACGACCCACCUAUUAUCUAGCCAUUCCUUUCGAACCAUUGCUUUACAUCCGUCUUCACGUCGUCUAUAUAGCGGGUAGGAGUCCUUGCCUUGUAAGGUAGCCGCGUUGAAAGGCCGCGGAUAGUGAUUCUUGCAAGAAGGACGACCCUUUGUGCAAGGGCAUUCAGGAUUCAAAGCACCACAAGGUCCAUGCAUCAUAUGUUUCACAACCAACUUGUACAGUUCUGGGUACUUCUUCUUGUUGGGGAGUUCGGCUGAGAUAAGGCGAUCAUACUGCUCAGGGCAUGUGAGCUUGUAUCGGCCCUCCAUGAUGAGCAGGAAGUGCGCAUGAGGCAGGCCCCUCUUUUGGAACUCCACCACAUACACAUAAGCCCUCACCUUGCCCAAGAUAUCCUUUUUAAGUAGCUUAUUCUUGAGUUCCUCCAACUUAGCCCUGAAAACACGAACGACGAGAUCUGGACGAUCUUGAGGUGUCUGGCCAGGGUAGAGCUCCUGCCUAAUCUCAUCCCAGUUUGGGUUGCAUGUCAUUGUGAGGAAGAUGUCUGGCUUUCCAUACCUCCUAACUAAGGCCAUAGCAUCCAUGUAGCGACGCCUCAUGUCUCGUGGACCACCGAUAAAUGACGUAGCUAGAACUGUGCGUUUUCCAACAGAAUCUGCCCUACCCUCACCAGCAUGUAAGCUAUCCACCAAGCCUUGGUACAGGUCCGCCCUUAUUUUAUCUUGAUGACCCAAUAUAUAGUCCAACCGGGAGUUCUCAAUCUUGAUGUAUGUGUCGACCGCGAACUGCUGAAAAAGACGCUUGCCAAAGAGGAUCGGGUUGAAUAUCCCUGGACGCAUCUGGAAUUUGUAGCAGUAGUAGUCCCUCACAGAUACACAUAGCCUGCCUCCAGAAGCUGCAUACAAAAUUGAAAAUCGAUGGUGAUGUUGAUUGAGAGCACACCUCAAAUAGACGGUGAUGUAACAACUUAUUGCAACACCAACCUUCAUCAUCAUUGGCGUUGUCAUUGAUUGACGGAUUGGAGGACCUAUUGGUGUGGCCACGAGCUAGACGAGCUGCACGAGCUGCCAUCACAGUUUCAUAGGGCACACCUUCCUUCGGGAUAUCAGUAUGCCACCCAAGUUCACCUCUAGGGAAGAAAAGAGGGUACGACAACGCAUCAUAGCAUCCAUGGUAGGACUUGAUGCCAUAUAUAUCUCUAUUCUUACCUUGCAGGAUGACGCUAUUUUCGAAUUGUCUUCGACGUUCACUAUCCUCCACCCACACAGCAGCUACCUCUGAAGUGGUCGGCGUGUUAUAUCUUCUUUGAUCCAUCCGUUGGUCAAGGUUAAGUGUUAUGUGAUAGUCAUCAACAUCAUCAACAUGGCCCAUACUCCGGAGGUGUUCAGAGUAUGGGUUGCCAUGAAGUAUCUUGACCAAUUGUGUGAUUACUUCUUUGUCUUUCUGGCACUGCUCUUUACGGCAACUGCGAUACCUGUGUUCUAAACUGGGGUCAUCAUCAUAGAAGUAGAGCUCCAAGUGACUACGAUCCAAACCAUCUUGUUUGCCGAAUGACCGUAUGUUGUGGUACAUUUGGCCAUGGGCACGAAAUGUAUAGAUAGGGUGCUUUGAUAUGUUAGUGGUAUCACUAUCAAGGUGACAAUAUAGUGAGGUGAAUGAGAAGUGGCCAUUGAAAAACCUGAUAUUGUCACGAAAAUGCCUGGAAUCAGAGUCUACACUUGUCCAUAGCCUCAUGAGCUCGGUGGCGUAUUUGGGUUGGCCAGUUUGAUCUUCCCCUUCCGGCAGCAAAAACCCAUGGACUCACGCUCGAACUUCUUUGCAUAGCAGUGUUUGCAGUCCUCCACCGACUUCAGCUUGUGUGUGUUGGUUGGGAGUUUGCUAUAAACCAUAUCGUAGGGAUCCGGAACGUUUGACAUGGAAGUAGUGUCGUCGUCAUCGUCAACAUCCUCCAUUUCAACAUCCUCGUCGUUGUCCUCCUCUGAAAUUGUGCAAUGCACUGACAAUAUGAGUACAAAUUACAUGCAUAUGAUAUACACGAGACGUCGUGAAACAUGAUUAAAAUACCCAUCCCAGCGAACAUGUAGCCUUCCUCGUCUUCCGAGUCGUCCUCCAAUAUGACACCCUCUCCAUCACCUAUCCCAAAAUUAUUUAUGAGGCAAAUGUAUCCAAUAAACCAUCGUGCAUGAAUUUAAUAAAAAAGCUUACCAUCGUCAUUGGCUCGUGAGUGUGUUGUAUGUUCUUGCAACGCACAUGUAAUUGGAGAUGUAUUCUCUAUGAAUACAACAUAAAAGUAUAAUCAAUAUGAUUAUGAACGACUUAUCUUAUAAUGUUCAAACAAUUAAGAGAAAAUAUUACCAUUAUUGACAAGGACAGUUUGUGCAGGAAGUUCAAAACCAUUGACACCUUCCACCGUCAUUGUUGGAUGUUGAUCUAACGAUGCAUUCACAUCAUUGUUGGGUGCCAGAUGUAUUUCUCUAGGCUCACACAAUGGCGAUGUACUUUCUAUUAAUAGAAUACACAAAUUUCAGUGAAUAAUUCUAGAGAAUGAGAAUACCAAAGUUUAGAACAUUACCAUUGUUAAUGAUGACCGAUUGUGUUGGAUGUUCAAACACAUUUACGUCGUCUAGCGCAAUCGACGUGUUUUCGUCGAUCGAUGUGUGUCUAUUCUUCCUACCACUUGCAUGGAAAGCUUGGUUUCUACGAUCCAUCAAAGCUUGCCUUUCCCCGGGUGUCACAUGUUUUCUCCGUGGUUCCAUACUGACAUCCAUAUCUGGUGUCUCCACACACGAUAUAUCCUUAGAAGCGGACUGGAUAUAAACGGGGGAACCAGUGAGCUCGGGAAUAGACCAAUCACGUCUGACAACGGAGCCAUCGGGACCAAAUGAACUUGCAUUUUUGCGAACUAUCUUGGGGAUGUAACAUGGGUUCUCCAUGGCCAAGGAUUCUUGGUUGAGAGUGUUGCACAAAGACGUGCGGCGAGCGCUCUUUGCAUGUUUUUUCUCAUCAGUCAUACUGGCAUACCGCUCCCUAUCAUUAGCACGUUUACUUUCCAUUUUCUCUGACGAAAUCAAAAGAUAAGUAUAACACCAUAAGAGUACUGUUUGUGUGAUGUCGGCUAUUAGGGAACAAUUAUGAUUUGUGUUGUGCAAUUAUUACCUGUCGAAGAUUUUGUCCGCUGAUAGGCUUCACGCUUACUUUCUAGCAGUGCAUCUUUCUUGUUGUUAUCCAUGUGAGCAUAUCAUUCCCUAUCAUUAGCACGUGUAUCGUUGACUUUCUCUGUUGAAUCACAUGAAAGCGGCAACAUUUUUAGAGUGCUGGUUUGUUACAUGCAACGAAUGUACAAUUUUGACUGGUCUUCUUGCAAAUUUUACCUGUCGAUGAUUUUGUUUUUUGAUAGGCUUCACGUUGUCUUUUCAACAGUGCUUCUUUUUUAUUGCUAUCCAUGGUUCGCAUAUCGUUCCCUAUCUCGUUGCCUCCUUCGCUCUUUGGGAUCUAUGGGUUGUGGCUGAAUAUGGGAUGAUGUGGGACUAACAGUACUGCAACUGUUGAAGUCCAUAAUAUCUACAGAAUAACGAAUCAUCACAUACAUAGAACAAUGAGUAAUGAAUUAUCAGCAUAUAUAGUAAGAUUUAUUGGUUGUAUUUAUACCAGUCAUAUGGUUUUCUUCGUUUUGAACCGGCAAUUCAAUCAAUUGCCUCCUGUAUGUGUCAUUUCUUCUUAGCCAGUCAUUAUCUUCACGAGGAACCAUAUUUUCCUUGUUGCAAGAAGUGUCUUCUUGUUCUAACGACGGCACGUCAGGUUUAGUUGCUUAGAAACAUGGAAACAUGGAAUUGAUAUAUUUGCAAGUAACGAUAUGCCUACUAUUUAGCACCUUUAACAUCUGACAUGUGUGGACCUGAUCGUGUCUCUUGGGAAUUAACCAAUAGUUGAGCUUUCUUAUCUUGAUAGGCUUCACGACGCUUCUUAAGUAGUUCAUUUUUUUUUCUUCACCCAUCUGCGCGUAUCGUUCCCUAGCACGUUGCCGCUUGCGCUCUUUCGCAUCCAUAGGUUCCGCUCCAUUACUAAUAUCGAUGACACCUAAACAACAAAACAACAACAGUAAUAUUUCAUGAGGUUUUGUACACUUACACAACAUUAGAUCAUUAAAUAGUACUUUUGCUAUUAGAGUUUGACAUGAUAAAUAUUACUUUGGUUCAUAGAUAUCGCCAUGUCUUUAAAGGGAGUACGAUCACUCGAUCGUGCCGGAGACUUCAUCUGCAAGCAAGACGGUGUCAAAAAAAAGUGAUAAUUAUGUUGCCACCGUCCAUUUUUCUAUAUAAUUAGCUUGCAGAGUGCACGCGUAUUCUACAUCAUACUCCAUAUAAAUUUCACGCUUAUUGUACAUUAUGAAUGACUUUAAAGUUAUUCAUGCUUUUAGCUAUUUGCCAAAAGUAUUGAACAGUAGUGAAAUGCAGUUGAUAUUAGUAUACCUGAACAUGAUAAAUUAUAAUUUAUUGCCAUGAAAAAUGAUUGUCCAUGCUGAUACAUACUUUACUUCCGUAACACUAAUAGCAGCUGGGAAUAUAUACAAACAUAUGGUUCACAUCUUGCUGUUUACAUUUCAUCACACAAUCACAUAAGGAUUGUUUACAUGUGACCAUUUAUUGUAAACAUGCGAAAAUAUAAUUAAUUUCGGCCCAGUUGCACAAGACGGAACACGAAGCUUAUUAUGACAUUUGGCCCGCGUGCAAGAUCUAAUUUAUUUUGACAACAAAGAUGGGCCGUUCUGAAUUGGCCCAACUUGGGCCUGGCACCACAGCUGUGCCACGAUGCGCACCGUACCGUUCGAUCAUCUGGACGGCACAGAUCAACCCCCGGAUCACAAAACCAGAUCCGGUCGAAACCCUACGCAAAAUAUCCCCCAAUUAUCGCCGACAAUCACGAAAAGGAAGGAGAUAGCGGCGGCUGACGGCGCCGAAAUCCAUGCCGCUGCCGCGGGCAAUUUGGGACGCUCGUCGGCGAUGUCGCGUCCGGCGGCGCUUUACCUUGCUCUGCUCAUUGAGGAUGUGCGGGCCGCCGUCCUUGAAGGCAGACGUUCUGGCCACGGUGAUGGGGGCUGCGUGUGCCGUCGGCCGUGAUGGCAGGCGCGGUGGUCGGGAAAUGGUGGGUGGGCGUGAUACUGUGACGGCGGGUCGGGAGACGGCGUCUGGGCGUAAGACGGAGGCUGAGCUGCCUCUGUGUGCUGGAGCUUCCUCCCGCGGCAUGGAGAGGAGCUGCAGCCCGCACAUCGCAAGGGGAUGGAGGCCCCCCUCUCCCUGUCCAUCCAGCUGCUGAUUUUAUGUGGGUAUGUGUCCUUCUGCAACCUCACGUAUUAGUUUGAAUCAUACUAUUGUAUUCUGCUCGAAGCCCAAAUAGUAAACAGGACGCAUUUGGCUCAGAGUCGAUGCUCACAAACAUGGGGCUAAUUACAAACGGUGGACAUGAAUAAAUCAUAGGACUUACCGAAGCCUAUUAGACUGGAGUCUGUGUGCGUUUAUCUUAGCGGCGUGGCUCCCGGGAAUUCAGCUUGCAAGGAAGAACAGGGGAACAAUUUUAUAAAACCAAUGGCACGGAGUGUGCAUGAGGUUUGUAUGCUUAUAACAUUGUGCGUGGAAUUUAGGCUUACAUCUAUCGCACGGGUUAGGAAGGUGAUCCCGUAUUAAUUAAUUAAAGUUAAUGCGCAGAUUCUACGCAGGGGAUAUGAAGGAAUUAAUAGGGAAGGUAAUGACUUGGAAAGAACAUAGAUAUAGCCUGUGAUCCCGGACAGAUUCUCGUCUUCAUUUAUUUAUUUUAUUUCAAUACCAGCUGGAUUUACAACGAGGACAACACGUAUAAAAGCUGGAUUAUAUAUGAAGCUGUUUUAGAGGCGACAAAACACUAUGUGGCAGAUCAUUAUAGAGCAUUUCAGUGAAGUUUGCAUCACACUUGAACCCUCCUCAUUCGUUGAACGUGAACAUGGCUCAUUCGUUGGACGAUCAAGCUGGCCUGCUUCUGCAAGGACCCAACCGCAUCUCCUAGUGCGGCACGGCAGGCCGCCAGCUCGUAGGAUUGCUGGUUGUCUGGUUCGAAGACAAGCUGGCUCAUGUAUGUCGUUUUCAGAAACCCUACAAAAUAGGUUUAAUCAAACAAUACAAACCAAUGUUAAACUUUAUUUGUUAAUGCAAGGACUCACGUUUUUCUCUGUUGACCUCAAGCAGUGUGGCACCCAAAGUCCAGAGCCCCUGCUUCGCUAGUCCCCACCGUGUCAAGUGGCGUGACACAUGCUGGUCCCAGACGCGUAGGCAGAUAAACUCCCUCCUGUUUGAGCAAUGAAAUGUUUGCUCGCAUGACAGAGUAAAAUGCAUUAUACAUGUACCACUUGGAUGAAGUACUUACCGACUGUCCAUUAGCACCACAUGUCGGUAUGGCGUGGUACGGUCGGAUGACCUGUGUAACAUUAUGCGGCUGACAUGCAUCACUAUACCAAUGACAUCUGGGCAAUCAAUGUUCAGAAUUUAUUAACAAAGCCUGGCUGAACCACAUGUGAGCAUAAUUAAUCGUGAAAUGAUACAAAGCACCUGCAAGCAUCCUGUCUCUGAGGCUGUAGACAUUACUAAAAUCAAUGAAUAGUGGCGGCAACGUAGUGAUGUUAAUGCUGGCCCUUGCAAGACGUAUUUCAGUGCGCGAGUGGAGGGCGAUGUAAAAGUCACACGGUAGGCACAAAGCAACUGGCAGAUGCACACCUGCUGGUUCGAAACCAACUUUACUGAAAAAGUAUACUGAGCCGGCACGUAGGUUGUCCAUGAAGCGAUAUGCGAUAGGCUGAAACGGAUCGAACGCAAUUGCAUCCAUUUUGACCCCCUGUGAAAUUUAUUGCAUACAUUAGCAGCAUGUUCUUGUUUCCAUUUUGACCCCCCAAUGAAAUUUAUUGUAUACAUUUUGAAUUCUUACAGUCUGGUCGAUGAGGAUGGCGUGAAAGACGGCAGUUCCACUCCGAGUAUGUUUGAUGCGAGCAUACAAAACCUUUGCUGUUGCGUCCCAACCUCUACUGUAUAUGUGUAGGUUCUCUAUUUCGUUGAACCUUACAUGCCUGCAAUUGGUCAGCUUUGAGAAAGAGAACAAUAAUGCAGAUUAUACAUAUGCAAACAGCUAAAAGCAGGAGUGGAACUAAUGUUGCCUGUUGAUCGGAGGGGGGGAGCCAACGGGAGCAGAAACGAAGUUCACAGGUGGUGGUGCCAUGAUCCUCUUUGAGCCAGGACGGCCCAUCUUUGCCAAGACCCAUUUCUGUUCUGCACGACUCAUGGCCAGAACGCUGCAUGACUUUUAUAGCAUGGCAUUAGAUAAAUGGCGGGAAGAGAAGGACUCCUCAUUUUGUAUUGGCGGCAGAUAAAAAGACAUAAUUUGGCGCCAGGUAAAAUAUCAAAGAAGGAAAAAUAUUGACCACAGUAUCAAUGAAAUUUCUACGUUGAUCAAUCUCUCCUUCCUUCUUUUCUUUGAUAUUUCAAUGAUCUUUCCUUCUUUGAUAUUUCCUUCUUUGACUAAAACCAUUUGUUUGAAAGAAGGAAGGUGAUUGAAUGAAUUGAUUGCGUUAGGAUUAAUCGUGUCUGGUUUCCUUAUGUGAAAUGGUUGCGUUUGGAAUGAUUGCCUUGGUUACCAUAUGUGAUUGAUUGCCUGCUAGUACAAAUGCACUGUGCGAUCUAUGGAGAAAACCGUGUGGGAGAAAAAACGGGAGGGAGAAAAACUGGGAGGGGGGAAAGAAAAUCAAGUGGGCCGAGAGGUGGGUCAGGAGGGGAGGAAAGAAAAUCGGGGGCGAGGGGAUCGUACGAGUGGGUUGACGAACGUAAGAG